CAGUAGCCGCGGUAAUACGUAGGGUGCAAGCGUUAUCCGGAAUUAUUGGGCGUAAAGAGCUCGUAGGCGGUCUGUCGCGUCUGCUGUGAAAACUGGGGGCUCAACCCCCAGCCUGCAGUGGGUACGGGCAGACUAGAGUGCGGUAGGGGAGAUUGGAAUUCCUGGUGUAGCGGUGGAAUGCGCAGAUAUCAGGAGGAACACCGAUGGCGAAGGCAGAUCUCUGGGCCGUAACUGACGCUGAGGAGCGAAAGCAUGGGGAGCGAACAGGAUUAGAUACCCCAGUAGUCCCUGUCUCUUAUAC
rnacentral:rRNA from 1 species